GUGCUCCCUUGGGUAGCACGUAUAUUAAAACUGGAAGGAUACAGAGAAGAUUAGCAUGGCCCCUGUGCAAGGGUGACACACAAAUUCAUGAAGCAUUCCAUAGUACA